UACGUAGGGGGCAAGCGUUGUCCGGAUUUAUUGGGCGUAAAGAGCGUGUAGGCGGCCAGGUAGGUCUGCUGUGAAAACUCGAGGCUUAACCUCGAAGCUGUCGGCGGAAACCAUCUGGCUAGAGUCCGGAAGAGGAGAAUGGAAUUCCCGGUGUAGCGGUGAAAUGCGCAGAUAUCGGGAAGAACACCCGUGGCGAAGGCGGACUACCUGGCCUGUUCUUGACCGCUGAGGCGCGAAAGCUAGGGGAGCAAACGGG
rnacentral:rRNA from 1 species